AAGGAAAGUUGGCGAGAACAAUAAACUAGCUGUGACUUCUGUAUAUAUCAUGAGCAACAACUGAAACACAAUGAGGGCAAUAGGUGUGGAAGGAAGCAAACAGUAGAACAAAGUUGAAGAGCCACAAGUACUAUGGGUGAGCAGAAAAACAUCCCAGAGAGAGGUUGUCAUAGGAACUGUGCCAGAAGAGCAAGUUACUCAAUAGAAUGUACCAUCCAAAGAAGAGAGGAAGGAACUGAUCUUGAAGCAUCUUUUACCACCCAUUUUAGGGAACGAAUCUUUCAUGAAUCUCCUCAUGGAAAUUGUCUACAGUGACGGCAGGGUAAGUGAGAUACCAGCAGGCUAUGGGGCUGAUGAUAUAUAUAUAUACCUCAUAGGAUUUUUGUAGAAGAUUAAAAUAGGUAAAAUAUAUUAAAUACCUACUCUAUAAAGUCCCUGAGAUAUAUCAAUAAUAAAUAACAAUAAUCUUCACUAUCUUAUGUAACCCUCACUAGAGACCUCUGAGGAAGACACAAUCAUUAUUCAAAUUUUCCAGAUGAAUAAAUGAAGCACAAAGAAGGUGAAUUGUUCAAGGUCACAUGGAGGAGUUCAUAGCUGGAACUUCCUUACUAUACUUUCCCCAAAGUUUUGAGACCCUAUGUUAUGGGCUAAAUUUUGUCCUCUUCAAAGUUCAUAUGUUGGAGUCUGUUAAAGAGAAAAUUAUUCAUCCAAAUCAUUCAUUAAGAAACACUAAGAAUUGGGGCGCCUGGGUGGCUCAGUGGGUUAAAGCCUCUGCCUUCGGCUCAGGUCAUGAUCUCAGGGUCCUGGGUUUGAGCCCCGCAUCAGGCUCUCUGCUCAGCGGGGAGCCUGCUUCUUUCUCUCUCUCUGCCUGCCUCUCUAACUACUUGUGAUCUGUCUCUGUCAAGUAAAUCAAUAAAAUCUUUAAAAAAAAAAAAACACUAAGAAUUGAUUCAGAGGACUAUCAAAAUAGGUAUAGGGGCCCAUAAAAUGUGGGUGGGGAGGGGCCUAUAGUAGGGGAGAAAGAUUGGACUCAAAUUCAAAUACAAAGAAAAAUGGAAAUUUGUAGCCACAAACCAGGGUUGGGGAUCCGGGGACAGAAAAUUACUAAGAUGAAACAUUAUAGGUAAGGGAGGAUUCUGUCUAAAAAAAACCUGAUAGGAUUCUUGCUCAAGUUAGGUGAGGGAGGUUAGAUAUCAUCUGGGGAAAGGUAGAUCAUGAGGUACCCAAUCAGAUAUUGAGGGUGAUCAGAUAUCAAAUAUGGGAGUUUCUUGUUAAACUGACUUAGCAGGAUUCUUGCUAGAAAUAGUCUACAAGGAAGUCUACAUGGGAACCCAAGGUCAGGCCUAGUGAAAAAGGGAGCUCAGAAAAGCAUGACCAAAGUUUGAUCAAGGUGAGAAUCUUUGUGAAAUCCUACCCCCUCCUUUAGUACCUAAGAAUGUGACAGUAAUUAGAGAUAUGACCCUUAAAGAGAUGAUUAAGGUAAAAUGAGGUCAUUUGUGGUGUCCUUAUAAGAAGAGGAGGUGCAAAGACAGACACCCAUGGAGUGAGGAUCAGGGGAAGACACCAGAGGAAGACAGCCAUCUAGAAGCCAAGGAGAAAAGCCUUUAGAAGGAACCAACCCCACUAACACUUUGAUCUUAAGAGUUCCAGCCUCCAGAACGAGGAGGAAAUAACUUGCUGUUGUAUAAGCCAUUCUGUCAGUGGUACUUUGUUAUGGCAGCCCUAGCAAAUUAAGACACCCUUCAGUGAGCUUAGCAUCUUGAACUUUAUUCGAACCUGUGUCAUCUCUUUGUCUUGGCCUCUCUACUCUUGGCAUUCUGUGGCUGUGUCUGUUUCAUUGUAGUUAAGCACCAGGUGUGGAAUGUGAACCUCUGUGUAAAAUGGCACAGCUUUCCUCUGGAAAGGGCUCUGUAAAGACUCAAUCCAGGAAAAUUAACCAAGGUAUGUGGUGCUUUCUUUUCUGUUUUAUGCCUGUCUCCUCCCACUUAACCAGAGUGGAUGUUCCUCAGUGUAAAGACCACGGUGUACUCAUCUCUAGAUGCAAGUUCUUACAGGACUGCACUGCCAUUAAUUUUUUAUGUAUUUAUUUACCACCUUCACCCCACCCCUAGUUAAUUUCUAAAUUCACAGACACUAAGAUUGUGCCUAUGAAUUAUUCAUUUCUGUAUUCCCUACAAUUCCUUGUUCAAAGUAGGCACUAAUUUAUUUUUGGAUUUUUUGACUGGGGAAUACACACACACACACACACACACACACACACACACAGAGUAUACAUUAUAAUAUGUAUAUAAUCUUUCUUCUUUAUCUCUGAUGAGGAGAUUUUUGUAAUA
rnacentral:lncRNA from 1 species